rnacentral:rRNA from 1 species
GGUGAGUAACGCGUGAGUAACCUGCCUUUCAGAGGGGGAUAACGUUCUGAAAAGAACGCUAAUACCGCAUGAGACUACAGAGCUGCAUGGCUCAGUGGUCAAAGGAGCAAUCCGCUGAAAGAUGGACUCGCGUCCGAUUAGAUAGUAGGCGGGGUAACGGCCCACCUAGUCGACGAUCGGUAGCCGGACUGAGAGGUUGAACGGCCACAUUGGGACUGAGACACGGCCCAGACUCCUACGGGAGGCAGCAUG